rnacentral:rRNA from 1 species
GAUGAACGCUGGCGGCGUGCUUAACACAUGCAAGUCGAACGGAAAGGCCCAAGCUUGCUUGGGUACUCGAGUGGUGAACGGGUGAGUAACACGUGGGUGAUCUGCCCUGCACUUCGGGAUAAGCCUGGGAAACUGGGUCUAAUACCGGAUAGGACCACUUCUUGGAUGUUGUGGUGGAAAGUUUUUUCGGUGUGGGAUGAGCUCGCGGCCUAUCAGCUUGUUGGUGGGGUAAUGGCCUACCAAGGCGUCGACGGGUAGCCGGCCUGAGAGGGUGUACGGCCACAUUGGGACUGAGAUACGGCCCAGACUCCUACGGGAGGCAGCAGUGGGGAAUAUUGCACAAUGGGCGCAAGCCUGAUGCAGCGACGCCGCGUGGGGGAUGACGGCCUUCGGGUUGUAAACUCCUUUCGCUAGGGACGAAGCGUUUUGUGACGGUACCUGGAGAAGAAGCACCGGCUAACUACGUG